GGGGCGGUAGCUCAGCCUGGGAGAGCACACGGCUGAAGACCGUGGUGUCGUGAGUUCAAAUCUCACCCGCCCCA
rnacentral:tRNA from 1 species